AUUGAACGCUGGCGGCAUGCUUUACACAUGCAAGUCGAGCGGCAGCGCGGGGGCAACCCUGGCGGCGAGCGGCGAACGGGUGAGUAAUGCAUCGGAACGUACCCUGGAGUGGGGGAUAACGCCGCGAAAGCGGCGCUAAUACCGCAUAUGCUCUGAGGAGGAAAGUGGGGGACCGCAAGGCCUCACGCUCUGGGAGCGGCCGAUGUCCGAUUAGCUAGUUGGUGGGGUAAAGGCUUACCAAGGCGACGAUCGGUAGCUGGUCUGAGAGGAUGAUCAGCCACACUGGGACUGAGACACGGCCCAGACUCCUACGGGAGGCAGCAGUGGGGAAUUUUGGACAAUGGGGGCAACCCUGAUCCAGCCAUGCCGCGUGAGUGAAGAAGGCCUCGGUUGUAAGACUCUUUGGUCGGAGAAGCGCUUGCCUAAUACGCGAGGUGGUUGACGGUACCGGCGAGAAUAAGCACCGGCUAACUACGU
rnacentral:rRNA from 1 species